GUUGGGAUGGCUGGUCUUUAGCACCAGAAUUCAAGGACGGCAGAGACUGAUUUUGCUGGGUAGAAAUAUUUAAUUUGGAUGAGAGAUCAUGAUGUAAUGUCCCCUCCUUCACAGCUCCCUCUGUUAGCACUUGUCCAGCCUGAAUAUUCACCACAUUAUCCUGUGAACUUGAACAAGCAGACGACAAUGCAGAACUACCUUCAGAAGCAGAAUCGAAAGCCUCAAAAGGUUCCAGUUGUUUUGAUUCAGAACCACUAGC
rnacentral:misc_RNA from 1 species